rnacentral:rRNA from 1 species
CGUAAGUUGUUGCAGUUAAAAAGCUCGUAGUUGGAUCUCAGGCUUGUGGCCGGUGGUCCGCUCGAUACGGGUGUGCACUGCCGUGCUCGGCCUACAUCUGGUUCAAACUUUCAUAGUGACCUUAACCGGUUGCUAUGAAAUGCCAGAAGGUUUACUCUGAAAAAAUUAGAGUGCUUAAAGCAGGCCGUUUGUGCUUGUAUACUGUUGCAUGGAAUAAUGGAAUAGGACCUCGGAUCUAUUUUGUUGGUUUUCGGAGUCGAGGUAAUGAUUAAGAGGGACAGACGGGGGCAUUCGUAUUGCGCCGUUAGAGGUGAAAUUCUUGGAUCGGCGCAAGACGAACAACUGCGAAAGCAUUUGCCAAGGAUGUUUUCAUUAAUCAAGAACGAAAGUCAGAGGUUCGAAGACGAUCAGAUACCGUCGUAGUUCUGACCAUAAACGAUGCCAACUGGCGAUCCGACGUAGUCUGGCUUAAAGGACUCGUCGGGCAGCCUCCGGGAAGCCUAAGUCUAUGGGUUCCGGGGGAAGUAUGGUUGCAAAGCUGAAACUUAAAGGAAUUGACGGAAGGGCACCACCAGGAGUGGAGCCUGCGGCUUAAUUUGACUCAACACGGGAAAACUCACCCGGCCAGGACACC